UCGGGAAUUUUGGGCAAUGGGCGAAAGCCUGACCCAGCAACGCCGCGUGAAGGAUGAAAUCCCUCGGGAUGUAAACUUCGCAAGAACGGGAAGAAUAAGUCUGUGUAAAUACCACGGAUGAUGACGGUACCGUUUGUAAGCUCCGGCUAACUCCGUGCCAGCAGCCGCGGUAAUACGGGGGGAGCAAGCGUUGUUCGGAUUUACUGGGCGUAAAGGGCGCGUAGGCGGCCAGCGCAAGUCAGUUGUGAAAUCUCCGAGCUUAACUCGGAAAGGUCAACUGAUACUGCGCGGCUAGAGUGCGGAAGGGGCAACUGGAAUUCUUGGUGUAGCGGUGAAAUGCGUAGAUAUCAAGAGGAACACCUGCGGCGAAGGCGGGUUGCUGGGCCGACACUGACGCUGAGGCGCGAAAGCUAGGGGAGCGAACGGGAUUAGAUACCCCGGUAGUCCUAGCCUUAAACGAUGAAUGCUUGGUGUCUGGGGUUAUAAAGUCCCCGGGUGCCGUCGCCAACGCUUUAAGCAUUCCGCCUGGGGAGUACGGUCGCAAGACUGAAACUCAAAGGAAUUGACGG
rnacentral:rRNA from 1 species